ensembl:snRNA U6 U6 spliceosomal RNA
GUGCUCACUUCAGCAGCACAUAUACUAAAAUUGGAACAAUACGGAGAAGAUUAGCAUGGCCCCCGUGCAAGGACGACACGCAAGUUUGUGAAGCGUUCCGCAUUUAA